UGGACUCUGGACGGGGAUAAUGCUUGGUGACCUUGGGCGACAUGGAAAUGGUGAGCCAUAUGCGGAGUACUCGAAAAAAUAUAGUUUCCUUAAAAGCCUUAAUAGACAGAACAUCACAGUGAACAAUAGAACACAAGGCAUUAUGGAGAAAAGCCAGUGGGACCUURAACAUUUACGUUUCACAUCCGGAAGAAUGAACAGAUUGGAUGACUUUGUUGUAAAAUAUCAGAAGACACACAGCUCUCCUGAAAGAGUACCAAGACUCCAAAAAACUAUUCCAAGAGAAGUUGUUUCGAGUAAGAAAAGAGCAGUGGAAGGACCGGAAGCCAAGGAAGAAGGGAAGAUAUGUUUCUGCUAUUCGAAAGUCUUUCCCCUUUCAAAAGGUUAUGGAAAAGGUAAUAUUGCUCUAAACCAGAAACAAGUUAAUUAAGUAUGAUAUGUGACUCCUCAAAGACACAACGUCAAAUGUAUAAAAUAUGUUUAUUUGCAUUAUUAAAUGAAUGUUGAGUUAGUUUAAAUUAUAACAACUAUAUAAACGUUUUGAUCCACACAGGACCACAUUAAAAAAUAAUUCUGCAUUGUUUUAUGUUUACUAUUCCAAUAUUUAUGGGUUUAUAAUUACAAAACUUAUUGUUUUUGUUCUCUUACUCAUAAGUGUUACAUAGUCUAUUUGAUGAAAAUUGUAAUUUUGCUUAACCCUAAA